rnacentral:lncRNA from 1 species
CUUUGUUUUUCUUUCAGACCGCUAUCAAUUCUUCUUCAGAUGAAGACCACAAUUCACUCCUGAUCUGAGGAAAUACCUGGAUCUCAUCUUUACACUAUGAUGCUGGACUUAGAUGCUGAUCUCAUAGUCGAAGCAGAUUCCACCAGCUACCUUGAAUUGAAAUGUAAAAAGCAGUUAUGUAGAGCAACUUAGAGACUUUUCAGAAUGAGAUGGGAAUCUCGGUUUCUGUUUUUUGUCUUACUGGCUGGCUGGUGUUUAAAAACAGUCCAAGGCGCAUCUGUUUCUUCAGAUGAUACUGGGCACCAAGAGAACACUGAUGCCAACACCAUCAAAAUAACAAAAAGGGACGCUGUGGAUUUAAACACUCGUAAACUCAGAGAUGUAGCUGGUGCGGGCCAGGAAACAAACUGGAAUGUACCAUAUAUGAAUAAGGGCAACUAUGAGGAUGCUGACUGGCAUCCAUCAACCUCCAUCCAGGAAACUCGUUCCCACUUGACUCCCGAUGCCCCAGUAAUAGGGAGAGACAACGAUGCUGACAAUUUGAGCCAAAACUGGAACCAAACGAAUAGUAAUUCCUCAACACGGUGUGGGGAGUACAGUAGCCAGCUGACGCCAAGCGGCCACUGCCGAUUGACGGCGACACUUCCUCCCGCGGGAACAGAUCAAAAGCCUUGUCCCGACAUGUUCCGCUGCACGGACGACAUUUCAUUUUGGCUUCACGAGAACCAGAACAGGAAGGAGCAGUUAAAGGAGCUGAGAGAAACGAUGUCGGAGCUGCAGGAGGAGCUGAGGAACCACCGGCAUCGAGUCAAGGUUCUGGAGAUGCAGGCUGAAGACAGCACUAUUCUAAAUUCUACGUUUGAACAUCGUCUGCGUUUCCUUGAGCUGCGUCACGCCGAGGUUGAUCCGCUGCUCCACGUGCACGCCGCCUUGUUGUACGAGCUGCAGGCGCAGGUCCGCAACCUGUCGGCCUCCGUGCAACACCUGAACCGCAACACCGGGUGUACAAUCAAUGUCAUUAGAGCAACGCCACCACUUGGCAUAAGAGACACGCUAUCACCAGGUACACAUGCAACAUGCAGAGUGGUGAGUUGUGAGCUGCUUGCUGUACAUUCAUUCUGUCUCACAGAAUUAUGUCCAAAACUACAUCUUUGAGU